rnacentral:rRNA from 1 species
CGGUAAUACGGAGGAUCCAAGCGUUAUCCGGAUUUAUUGGGUUUAAAGGGUGCGUAGGCGGUCCUAUAAGUCAGUGGUGAAAGACGGCAGCUUAACUGUCGCAGUGCCUUUGAUACUGUAGGACUUGAAUCUAUUUGAAGUGGGCGGAAUAAGACAAGUAGCGGUGAAAUGCAUAGAUAUGUCUUAGAACUCCGAUUGCGAAGGCAGCUCACUAAGUUAGUAUUGACGCUGAUGCACGAAAGCGUGGGGAUCAAACAGGAUUAGAUACCCUGGUAGUCCACGCCCUAAACGAUGAUAACUCGAUGUUUGCGAUACACAGUAAGCGUCCAAGCGAAAGCGUUAAGUUAUCCACCUGGGGAGUACGGUCGCAAGAUUGAAACUCAAAGGAAUUGACGGGGGCCCGCACAAGCGGAGGAGCAUGUGGUUUAAUUCGAUGAUACGCGAGGAACCUUACCCGGGCUUGAAAGUUAGUGAAUGAUCCAGAGACGGAUCAGUCCUUCGGGACACGAAACUAGGUGCUGCAUGGCUGUCGUCAGCUCGUGCCGUGAGGUGUUGGGUUAAGUCCCGCAACGAGCGCAACCCCUAUGUUUAGUUGCCAGCACAUAAUGGUGGGGACUCUAAACAGACUGCCAGCGUAAGCUGUGAGGAAGGUGGGGACGACGUCAAGUCAUCAUGGCCCUUACGUCCGGGGCUACACACGUGCUACAAUGGACGGUACAGCGGGCAGCUACAUAGCAAUAUGAUGCUAAUCUCUAAAAGCCGUUCACAGUUCGGAUUGAGGUCUGCAACUCGACCUCAUGAAGUUGGAUUCGCUAGUAAUCGCGUAUCAGCAAUGACGCGGUGAAUACGUUCCCGGG